rnacentral:rRNA from 1 species
GGGAGGUAGUGACAAUAAAUAACAAUACGGGGUUCUUUCGGAUUUCGUAAUUGGAAUGAGUACAAUUUAAAUCUCUUAACGAGGAACAAUUGGAGGGCAAGUCUGGUGCCAGCAGCCGCGGUAAUUCCAGCUCCAAUAGCGUAUAUUAAAGUUGUUGCAGUUAAAAAGCUCGUAGUUGAAUUUCGGGGUCAGCAGGUUGGUCGUGCCACUGGUAUGCACUGGCUUCGCUGAUUCCCCCUUUCUGAAGAACUGUAAUGCCAUUAAUUUGGUGUUGCAGGGAAACAGGACUGUUACUUUGAAAAAAUUAGAGUGUUUAAAGCAGGCUCACGCUUGAAUACAUUAGCAUGGAAUAAUGAAAUAGGACGUUUGAUUCUAUUUUGUUGGUUUCUAGGAUCGACGUAAUGAUUAAUAGGGAUAGUUGGG